UUCUUUUUAGUUUAAAUAGAAUUCUUGUCUUCCAAUCAAGAGGUCCUUUAAUUUUAGGAAAAGAAA
rnacentral:tRNA from 1 species